rnacentral:rRNA from 1 species
GACGAACGCUGGCGGCGCGCUUAACACAUGCAAGUCGAGCGAGAACCGGGACUUCGGUCCCGGGGACAGCGGCGAACGGGUGAGUAACACGUGGGUAAUCAACCCUCGGCACCGGGAUAGCCCGGGGAAACUCGGGUUAAUACCGGAUGGCCCCUCCGACUCUAGGGUCGGUCGGGAAAGGUAGCUUAGGCCUCUGGCCGGGGACGAGCCCGCGGCGGAUUAGCUUGUUGGUGGGGUAAUGGCCUACCAAGGCGACGAUCCGUAGCUGGCUGAGAGGACGAUCAGCCACACUGGGACUGAGACACGGCCCAGACUCCUACGGGAGGCAGCAGUGGGGAAUCUUGCCCAAUGGGCGAAAGCCUGAGGCAGCGACGCCGCGUGAGGGAAGAAGGCCUUCGGUUG